rnacentral:rRNA from 1 species
GUGAUGCUGGGCGCAGCCUGAUCCAGCAAUGCCGCGUGAGUGAAGAAGGCCUUCGGGUUGUAAAGCUCUUUUGUCAGGGAAGAAACGGUUCAGGCUAAUAUCCUGGGCUAAUGACGGUACCUGAAGAAUAAGCACCGGCUAACUACGUGCCAGCAGCCGCGGUAAUACGUAGGGUGCAAGCGUUAAUCGGAAUUACUGGGCGUAAAGCGUGCGCAGGCGGUUUUGUAAGUCUGACGUGAAAGCCCCGGGCUCAACCUGGGAAUUGCGUUGGAGACUGCAAGGCUUGAAUCUGGCAGAGGGGGGUAGAAUUCCACGUGUAGCAGUGAAAUGCGUAGAGAUGUGGAGGAACACCGAUGGCGAAGGCAGCCCCCUGGGUCAAGAUUGACGCUCAUGCACGAAAGCGUGGGGAGCAAACAGGAUUAGAUACCCUGGUAGUCCACGCCCUAAACGAUGUCUACUAGUUGUCGGGUUUUAAUUAACUUGGUAACGCAGCUAACGCGUGAAGUAGACCGCCUGGGGAGUACGGUCGCAAGAUUAAAACUCAAUGAAAUUUUGACGGA